rnacentral:lncRNA from 10 species
GUCGACGUCGUCCUCCUGUGGUGGCGGCGACACACCGCAGGCGCCUCGGAAGUGGCCUGGGCCUGACAACAACUCCCGGCCUAGGGCCUCGCGCACUCUGCGGCCCGCGGGGCUGGGCAGCGGGGGGCUGCGGCUCUCGGUUGGGGCAGCGACUGUGCGGGGCUGGGCGGGGGGCUAUUUCCGGGGAGAUGGGGGCAGGGGCGUUUCUGAGUCUGUGGCGGUAGGUACGGGCCCUGACUUUCUUCUUCUUUCGCCGCCGCCGCCGCCGCCAGCAGAGGUGGCGGAGCUACCCCUUUCCUCCGCUCCCCCCCUCCACGAGGAGGCUCCUGGUGUGCGCGGCCUGCCCCGGCUCGCUCCUCCCCUUCCCUCUCCGCUCCUCGUCAGGAGGAGGGAGAGCAACGGGACUUGCUGGUUGGGCCCUAACCUCCACAACCCCUCCUUCUCGCCUCGCUCUUUCGGCUUUUCCCCUCAGCCCUGACGUACGACCGGGAGCGCGCCCGCAAUUCACGCUCAGAGAAAGCCGAAGAUGAGAGGUGGCCGGGGCAAGAGAGGCGGGAACAAAGUUACCGCGCACUGGCGUGCUCGCUCCCGCCAGGGGCCGGCAGGCCGCACCGGAAGUGGCAUGAUGUAGAAACCGCUCGGCUUCCGGCGAGGGUGGGACUCCGUGUGAAGAAGGGUUAAAGAAAGGAGAGGAUUCGUGUGCCGCCCACUGCUGUUGCUUGAGACUCUGCCCGUGGUGGCGCGCCUGUCGUGCUUGUUGCUUGCGUCCAGCGCGCAGUGCCGGUUCCGGCUCUGCAGACGCCGCACUGCCUGCCUGUUGAGCGAAAGGUCACAGUGAGAACAAGUGUUUCUGGAGACUGCGAGGGAAAUAAUGCUGUUGGUGGCCUUCUGGAGUAGGCAGUUACCCCCCGUGUACCUUCAGUCAAGCCCUGGGAGUGGAACAGCUGCGAAAGGAGAGAAAACACCCCGCAAAACAGGGUGGAGAUGGCGUUGGUUUAACUUGUCUCACGUACGCCAAAGUUCGAGGCCCCAUUUUUUUUUUUUUUUUUUUUGAGACUGAGUUUCGCUCUCGUUGCCCAGGCUGGAGUGCAAUGGUGCGAUCUCGGCUCACCGCAACUUCCGCGAGGCCCCUUCUUAUCCUAAAAAACACACUUGGGAAUCACAGCUCAAGCUUCGGUAACACUAUUUACUUUAAAAUAAAAAUUUUUAAAGCUUUAAAUCAAUACAGGAAAUAAGUGGAAUGUUAAAAGGAACUACUGAAAAUUCCAAAUUCUCAGGAGGCUUGAAAUAAAAACAUCUUGUGCGAAUGAGGACUGCCCUCUUAGUACUUCACCCACUUUCACCUUCAUAUCUAAACCUUUGGGGUUGCCAAACAUAGCCAUAUAGUGACCUCACAUCUCAUUUCUUGCCUUAGAAUUGCCCUUCAGUUACAGACUAAGCACUCGGGAUAAUUAGAUUAAAAUGUAAAUGGCUUAUUGGCUUUUAGAAUGGUUGGAAACGCAAGCUAACCCUGUGCAGUGGCACACGCCUGUAGUCCCAGCUACUCCGGAGGCUGAGGCAGGAGGAUCUCUGGAGCUCAAGAGUUCGAGGCUGGAGUGAGCCAUGACCGUGCCACAGCACCCCAGCCUGGCCAAUCAGCAGGGCGAGGCCCUGCCUCUAAUAAAAGAAAAAGCUAAGCCGUCUGUUCAAUGACUAAAUGUAGUAACCCCUUUGAAAAUUCAUUUGUUCAGAUCAUCAGUUGGUUUAGUUCUUAAACACUUGGUAUCUAUCCAUCGUUAAUACCUUAGUGUAAAUUAUUUUAAUCAGUUUGACAUCACAGUAUCACAGACUGGCCUGAUUUAAGCUAAGAUCAGACUUCACUGACCGAGUACAAAGGAUGUUGGUUUGCUGAAGGAUAAAGGAGGAGGCAAAGGAAUAGGUAAUCUUAAAGUCAGAGCAUUUCCCAGGAGGGCAGGCCUGGGUGGGCAACACCAUGGGAUGGGCAUUGGGAAACUGAAUAGAAAAAUAGGGGGCAGGGUUCCUAAAACAAAUUUCUGGUUGACAGUAUUGUUGAGUGAAGGUCCUGUAGCCAGCCUCCUACCAAAGACUGUUUAGCAAGUGGCUUUUUCAGAAACAUGUAGGAUCAACUUGUUCCAUCGUCCUACGUUAGAUAGACUGGAAUAACAGAACAAAGAGAGCAAAUAAGAGGUUUAGCUUGCAGCUCCCCUCGUGUACAACCAGUUCCACUUGAGAAUGUCAUCUUCUAUCAUAUAUUUUCAAAGAAAACUUGAUCCAUAGUAAAUGGAUAAUUCCCAUGUGUAAGUGUAUUAAAUGGAGAAGAAGGGAAAAAAAGUAAAUGGAUAGUUCCCAAUCCAGGGUGCAAACAAAAAACAUGUACUAAAAUAUUUUUACUGUGGUUCUACCACCCACGUUUCCUCAAAGAUUCUACCUUUGGUGGGGGAGGUUGAAUGAACAUUUUGAGCUCAAGAUACCUGCCCACGUGGUUGGAAACACUAAUAACUAAUAGGAUUCAAACUCCAAAAAAUGGGAAGGACCUUUGAAUUAGAAGCCGUCUGUUUCUAUAAGCCUGUCUGCUUGCCUGAAUAUUAAAGAGAUUUGAAAUUCCCAUU